rnacentral:lncRNA from 1 species
UUCUCAACUUCAUGCCUAUGAUUAGAAGGUAGGUGUCUGCCCUCCCAGCCUGUGGCCAUGUUUGUUUUCCUCUGCUCUCUGGGGAUGGGGAGGGCUGAGCAGCUCUAUCACUGAGGAUGAGUGUGGAUUAGUGGUCCUCAGACUAGUGGAGGGUGGGUGUCAGAGGCUGCCUCUUUCCUCUGCUCCAUCCAGCUUUGCAAACUCCUGUACCAGCAGUGGAGCCACAUCUUCUGGCGGCCCCUUGGCUUCCUACCAGAAGGCCAACAUGGACAAUGGAAAUGCCACAGAUAUCAAUGACAAUAGGUACAACAGUCCCCACUACCCCUGGGUUCUCUGGGUGGGACCAGAAGAAAUGAUUAAAUUUCCCUUGUGCCCCACUUGGAGGUUCCUGGAGCCUUUGGGGAAGGGGGAGGGAGUGAGACUCAUUCUUUUCAUCACUGUGUUGUCCAGGAGAUCCAGUCAUUCCCCUGCCUCAGUGCAGAAUAUCUCCCCUCCUCCAAUCCCAUCUGUGGCUUCUCCCUAUUCCAGUGAUAAGGUCUGGACGAAAA